AUGGGUCAAUCAGCCACAAUAAACUGCUCACACACUAAAGGUGUAUCGUAUGAUCAGAUGUACUGGUUCCGUCAACUUCAUGGAGAGAGCAUGGAGCUCGUAGUGUACUCUCCAACAUACAGCACUCCAGAUUUUGGAAAUUUCAACCAAAAUCUAGGCAUGAACAGACUCAUGUGGAUGUUUUCUCUCAUCAUCCAUUCUUUAACCUGGUCAGCAGUAUUUGCUGUCAGUAAAGAGGUUUUCCAAACUCCUCCUGAUCUGCUCAGGAAGCAUGGGGAAUCUUCAGAGAUUCAGUGCUCUCACAAGAUUUCAGGCUACGAUCGCAUUCUGUGGUAUAAACACACCCGAGACAGAGAGUACCAACUCAUGGGAUACAAUUUUCUUACAAGUUCUCAACUGGAGCCUGAAUUUAACAACCAGGUGACCUUGACAGGGAAUGGAGACAGUAAAGCCACACUGGCCAUAAAAUCCACAAGGUCUAAUGAUAGUGCAGAAUAUUUCUGUGCAGCAUUUGCACAGUGUCUCACAUUUCCUGAUCCCUUUACAAAAACGUUCUCUUAG